GUUGCUGCAGAGCCGGGGAAGUGGGGGGCACAGGCCUGCGCGGGAAGCAAACAGCCGCUUGUCUCCCUCCGCACAGCCACGCUGGCUCACCGGCCGAGCCCGCCGGCUUCCGCAGUGACUCCUGCGGCCGCAAAACGCGGGCUGAGCGGGCAGGAGGGAUGGUUCGCAAACUUGCGUGUGAACUUGCGGAGAAGGACCGUUGGAGAGAAGCACCGGCGUCGGCUCCUCUUAGCCAGGCCGGGGGCGGGGCUGGACUGGAUAAGAGGGGCUUCCCUUCUGACCCACAAUGGUUCUCUAAUUGGGAAGAAUGGACGACUCAAUAGUGAUCCUCCAGUUCAGGAACAUGAAUGGGCCUGGAAGUGGCUAUGCAGCCACCUGUCUUCAGCACUGUGAAAGUCUGGCCUGUCUCAUUUACCAUCAGGGGCAUGAGGCCUGUCAACCAACAGCGUGUUUUGCUGGAUGGGCUCCCAACUGUUGGCUCAUUGAAGAACAUCUGACAGACUUCGGGGUCGCUGUUCCUUCUAGGUUACUUGGCUAAGAAGUCAUCUUGGAUGAAAAUCCAUUAUAUCAUAACACUGCCCCACCCCCUCGGCAAGGGCUGGUCCUGUGACCAAUAAAUUACUACAAGCUAUCUAGGUGAUUAAAAGCUGAUAGAUGAAUAAAGACUAUUUUAACCAGGAAACUCCUCAUACGUAAAGUAAUUUAUUGUGUUGGUCAGGUGGGCAAUGGCACAAUUUAGGAAAAUCAUAUCACUAAUGUAGUUUAUUAAUGCCUUUCCUACAGGGGUGACACCAAAGAGUUCAACAAAGAUUUUUAUUGUUUUUCAGAGAGACUUUACAAACCUCAGUCAAGAGAUCUGAAAUU